rnacentral:rRNA from 1 species
CUGAGUACGGCGGAACACGUGAAAUUCCGUCGGAAUCCGGGAGGACCAUCUCCCAAGGCUAAAUACUCCCUAGUGACCGAUAGUGAACCAGUACCGUGAGGGAAAGGUGAAAAGCACCCCGGAAGGGGAGUGAAACAGUUCCUGAAACCGUGUGCCUACAAGUAGUUAGAGCCCGUUAAUGGGUGAUAGCGUGCCUUUUGUAGAAUGAACCGGCGAGUUACGAUUUGUUGCAAGGUUAAGCGGAAAAAGCGGAGCCGUAGCGAAAGCGAGUCUGAAUAGGGCGCAUAAGUAACAGGUCGUAGACCCGAAACCAGGUGAUCUACCCAUGUCCAGGAUGAAGGUAAGGUAAUACUUACUGGAGGUCCGAACCCACGCACGUUGAAAAGUGCGGGGAUGAGGUGUGGGUAGCGGAGAAAUUCCAAUCGAACUUGGAGAUAGCUGGUUCUCUCCGAAAUAGCUUUAGGGCUAGCCUCGAGGUAAAGAGUCAUGGAGGUAGAGCACUGUUUGGACUAGGGGCCCUUCUCGGGUUACCGAAUUCAGAUAAACUCCGAAUGCCAUGUACUUAUACUCGGGAGUCAGACUGCGAGUGAUAAGAUCCGUAGUCGAAAGGGAAACAGCCCAGACCACCAGUUAAGGUCCCCAAAUAUAUGUUAAGUGGAAAAGGAUGUGGGGUUGCUUAGACAACCAGGAUGUUGGCUUAGAAGCAGCCACCAUUGAAAGAGUGCGUAAUAGCUCACUGGUCGAGUGACCCCGCGCCGAAAAUGUACCGGGGCUAAACAUAUUACCGAAACUGUGGAUGAACCUCUUUAGAGGUUCGUGGUAGGAGAGCGUUCUAAGGGCGGUGAAGUCAGACCGGAAGGACUGGUGGAGCGCUUAGAAGUGAGAAUGCCGGUAUGAGUAGCGAAAGAAGGGUGAGAAUCCCUUCCACCGAAUAUCUAAGGUUUCCUGAGGAAGGCUCGUCCGCUCAGGGUUAGUCGGGACCUAAGCCGAGGCCGAUAGGCGUAGGCGAUGGACAACAGGUAGAGAUUCCUGUACCAGUGCUAAUUGUUUAACCGAUGGGGUGACACAGAAGGAUAGGGAAUCGCACGAAUGGAAAUGUGCGUCCAAGCAGUGAGUGUGAGAAGUAGGCAAAUCCGCUUCUCGCGAAGCAUGAGCUGUGAUGGGGAAGGAAAUUAAGUACGGAAGUUCCUGAUUUCACGCUGUCAAGAAAAGCCUCUAGGAAGAGUAGUACUGCCCGUACCGCAAACCGACACAGGUAGAUGAGGAGAGAAUCCUAAGGUGAGCGAGAGAACUCUCGUUAAGGAACUCGGCAAAAUGACCCCGUAACUUCGGGAGAAGGGGUGCUCUAUUAGGGUGCAAGCCCGAGAGAGCCGCAGUGAAUAGGCCCAGGCGACUGUUUAGCAAAAACACAGGUCUCUGCAAAACCGUAAGGUGACGUAUAGGGGCUGACGCCUGCCCGGUGCUGGAAGGUUAAGAGGAGUGCUUAGCUUCGGCGAAGGUACGAAUUGAAGCCCCAGUAAACGGCGGCCGUAACUAUAACGGUCCUAAGGUAGCGAAAUUCCUUGUCGGGUAAGUUCCGACCCGCACGAAAGGCGCAACGAUCUGGGCACUGUCUCAACGAGAGACUCGGUGAAAUUAUAGUACCUGUGAAGAUGCAGGUUACCCGCGACAGGACGGAAAGACCCCGUGGAGCUUUACUGCAACCUGAUAUGGAAUGUUUGUACCGCUUGUACAGGAUAGGUAGGAGCCGAAGAGACGUGUGCGCUAGCAUACGAGGAGGCAAUGGUGGGAUACUACCCUGGCUGUAUGACCAUUCUAACCCGCCACGCUUAGCGCGUGGGGAGACAGUGUCAGGUGGGCAGUUUGACUGGGGCGGUCGCCUCCUAAAGAGUAACGGAGGCGCCCAAAGGUUCCCUCAGAAUGGAUGGAAAUCAUUCGCAGAGUGUAAAGGCACAAGGGAGCUUGACUGCGAGACUGACAAGUCGAGCAGGGACGAAAGUCGGGCUUAGUGAUCCGGUGGUUCCGCAUGGAAGGGCCAUCGCUCAACGGAUAAAAGCUACCCCGGGGAUAACAGGCUUAUCUCCCCCAAGAGUCCACAUCGACGGGGAGGUUUGGCACCUCGAUGUCGGCUCGUCGCAUCCUGGGGCUGUAGUCGGUCCCAAGGGUUGGGCUGUUCGCCCAUUAAAGCGGCACGCGAGCUGGGUUCAGAACGUCGUGAGACAGUUCGGUCCCUAUCCGUCGCGGGCGCAGGAAAUUUGAGAGGAGCUGUCCUUAGUACGAGAGGACCGGGAUGGACACACCGCUGGUGUACCAGUUGUUCCGCCAGGAGCAUCGCUGGGUAG